rnacentral:rRNA from 1 species
ACCUAGCAAUAGGUAUGCUUAGGGAAGAGCUUGCGUCACAUUAGUUAGUUGGUGGGGUAAUGGCCUACCAAGACGAUGAUGUGUAGCCGGGCUGAGAGGUCGAACGGCCACAUUGGGACUGAGACACGGCCCAAACUCCUACGGGAGGCAGCAGUAAGGAAUUUUCGGCAAUGGAGGAAACUCUGACCGAGCAAUGCCGCGUGAACGAUGAAGUAUUUCGGUACGUAAAGUUCUUUUAUUAGGGAAGAAAAGAUGGUGGAAAAACCAUUAUGACGGUACCUAAUGAAUAAGCCCCGGCUAACUAUGUGCCAGCAGCCGCGGUAAUACAUAGGGGGCAAGCGUUAUCCGGAAUUAUUGGGCGUAAAGGGUGCGUAGGCGGUUAAAUAAGUUUAUGGUCUAAGUGCAACGCUCAACGUUGUGAUGCUAUAAAAACUGUUUAGCUAGAGUUGGAUAGAGGCAAGUGGAAUUCCGUGUGUAGUGGUAAAAUGCGUAAAUAUACGGAGGAACACCAGAAGCGAAGGCGGCUUGCUGGGUCUUAACUGACGCUGAGGCACGAAAGCGUGGGGAGCAAACAGGAUUAGAUACCCUGGUAGUCCACGCCCUAAACGAUGAGUACUAAACGUUGGAUAAAACCAGUGUUGAAGUUAACACAUUAAGUACUCCGCCUGAGUAGUACGUACGCAAGUAUGAAACUUAAAGGAAUUGACGGGACUCCGCACAAGCGGUGGAUCAUGUUGUUUAAUUCGAAGGUACCCGAAAAACCUCACCAGGUCUUGACAUGCUUUUGCAAAGCUGUAGAAAUACAGUGGAGGUUAUCAGAAGCACAGGUGGUGCAUGGUUGUCGUCAGCUCGUGUCGUGAGAUGUUGGGUUAAGUCCCGCAACGAGCGCAACCCUUGUUGUUAAUUGCCAUCAUUAAGUUGGGGACUUUAGCAAGACUGCCAAUGAUAAAUUGGAGGAAGGUGGGGACGACGUCAAAUCAUCAUGCCCCUUAUGACCUGGGCUACAAACGUGAUACAAUGGCUGUUACAAAGGGUAGCUAAAGCGUAAGCUUCUGGCGAAUCUCAAAAAAGCAGUCUCAGUUCGGAUUGAAGUCUGCAACUCGACUUCAUGAAGUUGGAAUCGCUAGUAAUCGCGAAUCAGCA